GUGAAUGCUUCCUUCUGAGAGGGCAUAAGAAAGACUGAGCCCAGAAAAACAAAAAGGAGGCCUUCCAUGGAAAGAGGAAUUGUCCAGAAGCCAAGAUGAGUGCUGCCAGGUGACCCAUGAAAUCAUGGCACUUGUUUGGGGGAGGUUCCCGGUCUAACUGAAGAAAAUAAUGUUUCCGUCAGAUUUUGGACUAGAGAAUACAUAGAAAAUUGUCCAGUUUGGUAUGAGAAAAGAAUGGCGCAUUUACACAAAGAUAAAUACUCAAUGGUCAAAAGAAAGUUGAGAUACCUACAGUUGCCUUGAUUCUUCACAACCUUCCUGACAGUAAAUCCUUCUUUAAGGUGGUCAAAAGAAACCCUGUUUCUUGCAAUCAAGAGAGUCUUCUAACUCCUUGCUGCUCAGCGUGGUCUACAGACAACAGCAUUGGCAUCAAGCACUGGAAGCUUGUUAGAAUGUAUAGUAUGUCAGGUUCCACCCCAGACCCACUGAAUCCGAAUGUGCACUUCAGCAAAGUGGCCAGGGCACUAUUCUUUCCUGUCCCCCAGGAGGGGAGUAACAGGUGAAUCUUGCUGGGAUCAUUUUGAAUUUCCAGGGCUUCCCUCCGGAUUAAUCCCCUCACAGGCACGGAAGGCAGCCUGGUGGACUCCGCUUGCCUGCGCCCCAGUCGGGCAGCCCUAUCUUUCCAAUUCGCAGCCAGGCCAGCCCUUUCUGCUGCACAGAGAUCUACUAGACCCCAAGUGGGGGGAAUCUGGGCGGCUUGAGAGGCCAAUGAUGGCCGUAAUCAUUUUCAAAGGGCCAAUAUCUAGAGGUGGGAAACUGGCCGCCAUAACCUGCACUCCCCACUGUGGUGAGGACAACCCCUCCACCGGGCCCCUUUACUUGGCAAGGCAUUUACAGGUUGUAAGGAAACUACAAGAGAUAGCGCAACAUCUCAGAACUGUCAGCACCUGGGUGAGCAUCUCCAGUCUGAACACGCGAGGGGAAGAAGCAGCUACUGGAGUCUGAAGGGAGAUGACUAUGUGAAGAGGACCACUUGACAGGAGAUGCAAAGCUUCAGUGGAUGGGCACAGUGAGCCCGAGGGUGACUCCACUGGGGUCACCAAGGAAUGAAGUGUGAGAAUGAAUACGCUGACCUCACUCUCCUCCUUUUUCCUCAUCUCCUGUUGGUGCUCCUCAUUGGCCCAACCCAAUGGGAAGCCAGCGGUAAACCUAGACCAAUGAUGUAGUCCUUAUAGGUUAGCCUCCUAAGGCUUAGGGCGGGGUGGAGAGGAUGGGAAGUAAAUCUAGAGGGGCAAAUGAGAGCUAUCCAGCAUGGGUAGGCCUGAAUUGAAGUACAUGUCUAUCGAUUGACUGUUGACCUUAGGCGGGUUACUUAAUUCUCUUAGCCCUGCCUCUGAGGAGACAGUCACUUACGUAUCAUUUCUGCUCCACAGCCCCAAUAUCCAUUCCAGCUCUAAGAAAAGGAGAUUGCUAGUGUUGUGAUUUUUCAUAAACAAGACUUUAAAUGGCAUUCACAUUUAUACUAUUUACCAAAAUGUUUUAAGUCAAUAAUGUACACCUAUAUUACAUUUUAAUGCUUAUUUUAUAUUUGUUACUGUGACUACAAAACUUUUAGCAGCUUUAUUGAGAUACAAUUGACAUGUAAUAAACUACGCAUACUUAAAGUACACAAUGUGUUAAGAUUUGACAUAGGUAGAUACCACAUCAAGAUAAUAAACAUGUUCCAUCAUCCCUAAAAUUUUCUCAUGCAUCAUUAUAAUCCCUCCCUCCCCCAUUCCCCAUGUACCCUUCACCAUCCAUCCAUAAGCUUUCUAUCACUAUAUAUUAGGUUGUAUUUAUUAGAUUUUUAUAUACACAGAGUCAUAUGUACUCUUUUUAAACCUGGUUUCCUUUACACAGCAUAAUUACUUUGUGAUUUAUCCAUGUUGUAGCAUGUAUUGAUAUUUUAUUCCUUAUAAUGCUAGGUAGUAUUCCAUUCUGUGAAUAUACCAGUUUAUCUAUUUGUUUAUAUGUCCAGAUGUUGACAGAUAUUUGAGGUUUCUUCCAGUUUUUUACUCUUAUGAAUAAAGUUACUCUGAAUAUUCAUAGGGAGAUAUAUGUUUUCAUAUAUCUUGGGUGAGCAGAAUGGCUG
rnacentral:lncRNA from 1 species